rnacentral:rRNA from 1 species
GCUACGGGGGGCAGCAGUAGGGAAUCUUCCACAAUGGGCGAAAGCCUGAUGGAGCAACGCCGCGUGGGUGAAGAAGGUCUUCGGAUCGUAAAACCCUGUUGUUAGAGAAGAAAGUGCGUGAGAGUAACUGUUCACGUUUCGACGGUAUCUAACAAGAAAGCCACGGCUAACUACGUGCCAGCAGCCGCGGUCAUACGUAGGUGGCAAGCGUUAUCCGUAUUUAUUGGGCGUAAAGAGAACGCAGAUGGUCUUUUAAGUCUGAUGUGAAAGGCUUCGGCUUAACCGGAGUAGUGCAUUGGAAACUGGGAGACGUGAGUGCAGAAGAGGAGAGUGGAACUCCAUGUGGAGCGGUGAAAUGCGGAGAGAUAUGGCAGAACACCAGUGGCGAAAGCGGCUCUCUGGUCUGUAACUGACGCUGAGGUUCGAAAGCGUGGGUAGCAAACAGGAUUAGAUACCCCAGUAGUC